GUGCUCCCUAGAUCACCUCAGGUAGCAGAAAGACUGCUUAAAUCUUUGUGCCAGAGACUACAGGAGUUUUCUACAAGGAAAUGGAGCUCUUCUUUCUGAGAGUCCAGUUUCACGUGGAGGGACUGGACAACCCAGGGUGAUAAGGACAACACAAAACUCAUCAUAUUCUGCUCCAAGUGCAAGUUGCUGCAUAUGUUCUCUCUGCCUGCCAGGAGACCAAACUUUGGCUCUAGGACUUAAGAAAUGGGAUAGGAAGUCUUCCAGAACUUUUCCUCUAUGGGUGCUUGCUCAGAUCCAGGUCGGUGUGACUGUGACAGAAGUCUCUAUUACACGAUGCUGCUCUGACAUUUAUAAAUCACUGGGAUUGCCAUGGCAGCAGCAGCCCUUGGGAUUGUGAUUUCAUCACGACAGAACAUUAUGUCGGGACAGCCCAUGCUGAGGGGAGGGUGAGACUGGAGCACCGAUGAGAUGGCGGCUGGUUGAGAGGAGCUCAUGCUGAGGUCCCAGCCCCGUGCUUUUCACCACUCUGGAAUAACAUCUGAAGGAGUCCAGCAGCAUGGUCCUUUCCGUAGCUUCCAAGGAUUUUUAGGAUCAUGGGGAUUUAUGGACCCGCAAAACCCUCUGAAGAAUAUCAACUGCAGACAAAAGCAAUGGGAAAUUCCUACCGUCUUUUUGCCUUUUGUUUUUUCCUGGGUCACCGAAUUUGGGAAGGAAGCAUCUCUGUCCUGAGGAUUAUAGCAGAGCAGUUACUCGCCGUCCUUACUGGAAUACGGUUUCUCAAGGUGGAGCGAUUAUUGCACAAGGCAGAAGGAUAUUUUUUCCCUUUCGCAGAGCUGUUGUGGUGCGGCAGUCGUCAUGUCCAGCAGGUCUCGCUUGACUACAAAAAGGAGAAAGGAGGAGCGUGUGCAAGGAGGUCAGGUCCUGUCAGGUCCUGCCAGAGCUUCCUGGGAAAUGAGGAGAAAUGAAGAGGGUAAGAUAACCAAGGUCAGCACCUCACUUCAAGCUGCCAGUUGGGCUCCUCGUGGGGAAGAGAACUGUGUGAUUUUAAGAAAAUCACACUUCAGCAGAAGGCUGCCUUCAACAACAUGCUAGAGCGCUGUGUGAUGCCAAGGAAAUCAUUUGCUGCAGAGCCCCAAUACUGCAAUCCUUGUUUUUCCUGGGAUAUCUCCCAUGGACCUUCUGGCUGAUUUUUCUCAUGAGAUCCAACUUGAUCAUCAUCUGUUGUGGUAUGUGGGGCUUCAAGCCAAGAAUAUCCAUUAUUUUUGAAACAUGAUUAUUACUGUUCAAAAUAGGCUUUUUUUCCAUGAUCUUAUAAGAUUUUACCACUUCUCUAAUAAGCUAAUUUUAUCCCUGCUCUGGCAUCUGUACUCCUUGAUGUUAUUUUGGUGUGUACUUUAUAUAUAUCAUAUAUACAGCUCUGUGCGUGCAUGCAUCACUAUACGUGAUUUAUAUGCAGCCUGCCUUGCCUGUGCUGUCACAGGGAAAUCAUUCUCACUUUUGUGGUGGCGGUCUUGGGUCAGACGUGUCAAGGCCAUUGCCAAACCUCUCUGUGAACUGUCCCAGUUCACUUCCCUUCAUCCCCAAAUGAGACUGCUGCUCCUCCUGGGCAAGAGAAGACAUGAACCAGCUGCUGCUUUAGCUAUGGGCAGGUGAGGGGUGUGUGGGCUUUCUAGCUGCAAGGUGGAAGCCCCCAGAUCUCCAAGUUACAGGUGCCUACAGACUUUGGUCUGCAAAUGCCUUCCUGAAGUCAAAGCAGAUAUGGGGAAAAUGGCUUUAAAAACUGGGAUAAAACUGCACAGAAAGAUGGAGGGAAAUGUGAUGGACUGUGCCUGGGGUACCUGCUGUAGCACAGGUCUGGGUGAAGGCUGAAGGCAGUGGGGGAGUGGUGGUGGUGGAAGAGAAAAUCAGUGGGGAGGAGCUCUGCAUUGGAUGAGAGACUUGAAAGGAAAAUCCUGAUUUGGGUAUUGAGAUGGUUAAUGGUGGAAGGUGGUUCCCCCAUUUCUUCUUACAUUCCUUACUUUGCUACAUUUUCAUUAAUUCACACGGUGGAUAAAACCAGGGAUCUGCAGCCUAAUAGAAAGACUUAAGUUAUGACAGUCUGAAAUUGGGUGCAACCAUCUCCCCUUCCUCUUGUCCUCCAUCUCCAGGUCUUUUAGGAUGGGGAAUUUUGAAUGGGUUUGUGUAGAAAAGGAAUUUUGCCUUGCUUUGAGUUGGAAACAAUUGAGUAACAAAAAAUUCCACAUGAGGGAAGAGGUAAGGAUAUAUUUUGAUGGUGUACGUGCUAGGGUCACAUGCACAAACUUAAUAACAAAGGAGGAGGAACAUCACCAAUGUGAUUUUGGGGCAGAAACAGAACCAGAUUUAACCAUGGGGUCAAGCUGUGGGAGUAAAGUGGACCCUAAUGUUCAGCUCCAACCCGAAAGGAACCCAUGGAGCAAGAUGGCCACAUAAUUGACCUGUCUUUUGGUCCUGUUUGGAAGAGGAUGCUCUCAUUGCAUGAGCAUUUCUUUAAGGUCUCGAUGCACUGUCAGCAUCGUGUCUGCAAAUGAGAUGGAGACCUCGUCUGCCGUGACCAUGUCAGUUUUACAUAUUUGCAUAAUGUAAACCCCAGUCAAGCUGAAUAGUGACAGGUGUCUUUGUUAUAGGCAAAUAAAGGUUUACAAGAAGCUCUGGAGUUUCUAGACUGAUAACGUGAAAACAGACACUUAAAAUGUGUGUGGUGUAGUGCGUGGAGGGGGGUUUGUUCCUUUGUGACAGUUCAAUUUUGGGAAGAAGAUAAGAAGGUGAAGUUAUUAAUUACUACAGUAAAUUUGCCAUGUACCUUGAUGGCCAGUUUUGAAGUUGUCAGAUGAGGCAGGUGUUAUACCCAACAUAGGGGUCUUGGUGGGCUUCAAUUUUAGCUGGAUUUUAUAAUAAAUUUCUGGACUGCAGAAAGAUGCAGCUCUUGUUUAGAGGAGUACUGCAGCUUGCCCCCAGUUAAUCAGAGUAGCACUGGUGGACCUCUGUCCUCAGUACUGGGGCUGUUACUCUUGAUUUGAUGAAAAUACCAUUUUUCUGGAAAAAAAAAAAAAAAAAAAAGAGACCUUACAGCCUUACAGUUUGAUACAGGCCACAAAAGUGUUAAAACAUUGAGCCUUAGUUUUGUCACUUACUGUCACCUUCUUCAGUGAGAGCUCUGCUGAUGAUAAAAAGGUUUCAUCAGUGUGAAAUUGCUGAAGGAAAUAAAACACUCAGAAGUUUCAGUUUAAUAGUCACUCAAGCCAUAGCUUAUUCUGGAAGGGUCAGUGUGUGUGUGGACAUGAGUAAGCCUUCAGAGAUCAGCGUGGGCUGUAUCAGCUGGAGUGGGGCUUUCCCAGGUUAGGCCUGAAGCUCUCCAGUCAAGAGUUCAAUGUCAUUGCAGCUGCCUCUACAGGAAGGCUUUGGUUAAUGCUGUGCGGCAACAGCUGUCAAAAAUGCGUAUUAUUCCCUCAGCAGAUAAAGCUAUAACAGGAAAAAUGUCUUGUGUCAACCUGGCCUUUGAAAUUCAAAUGAGUAAGAGCAACCUCACUUUUAAAUGUCAUCAUGUGCUUUGUGUGCUUUCUUCAUAAUUUGGUUGCUUGCUUUUCUGUGGUUACUGCAUUGCAAAGCUUUUGCUUCACAUGAUGCUUCAACCAAGGGUAAGAAGAGGAGAAAUUGUUGUGUGGGGAGUCCUGCAGGGCUGCUGCCCAGCUGGAGGUUGUGCUGACCCUGGAUUGACUCUGAAGCAUCAGAAUAAGCAUUUUGUUCCUCUAAAAGCCCAGCUGAUGGUGGAAAUACCUGCAGCAUCAUUUUCUUAUGUCAUAAAACUUGGGGAGAAGGUGUGUGAAGGAGCAUUGUCAACUUUGCUGUGCAGCAUUACUUUUUUCUAUACAUCACGGGUCUGAUUUAGGGUCUGUUUUGUGCCUGGUGUGCCAGGUGGGCUCCGGUGCUGCUGAAAUGCCUUGGAGCUGGCUCGUACCUGUGUUCACUGCCUUCCGCACAGUACAGCUUCAGGGUUUCCACCUCCAUGCAGCUCCAUGGUGGACGUCCAUCCCUCCAAACUGAAUCCCGAGGCGUGUGCUGAGCCAUGACUGGAAGUGGGGACGUCCUUCUGUGGGAAACCGGUUACGGAAAUGAACUGCGUUAUUUUGGGCUACACCACGACGGGCUGAUUGGUAGUGAGGUUUCUGCUCUGUCUGUGAUUAACCCAAUGGUGACAAUAAGAACAGAACAAAAAAAAUAGCAUUAAAAGUGAACAAAAAAACCAGAAGGAUAUUUUGGAUGCCAGAGGAUGCUCGUCCACAGAAUUUAAUUGUUUUAAACUAAUUCAGUGAUUAGUUCAAGUUGGCUUUGCAGAAUCCUGUCUGAGUAAUGGACAUUUCAGUGGAAUUAAUCAGAAAGAACUGCAGUUCCUUUUACCAUGUGCAAAAAUAGCCCUCAGACUGAGGACAAUGUGUAAUAGCAAUGACUGUAGCUGUUGACUUAGCCAGAAAUAUGCAGCCAGAAAAAAA